UACGAAGGGGGAGCUAGCGUUGCUCGGAAUCACUGGGCGUAAAGCGCACGUAGGCGGCCUGUUAAGUCGGACGUGAAAUCCCCGGGCUCAACCCGGGAACUGCGUCUGAGACUGGAAAGCUUGAAUCCGGGAGAGGGAUGUGGAAUUCCAGGUGUAGCGGUGAAAUGCGUAGAUAUCUGGAGGAACACCGGUGGCGAAGGCGGCAUCCUGGACCGGUAUUGACGCUGAGGCGCGAAAGCCAGGGGAGCAAAGCGGG
rnacentral:rRNA from 1 species